UGGAGGAAUUUGAUCCUGGCUCAGGACGAACGCUGGCGGCGUGCUUAACACAUGCAAGUCGAACGAUGAAGCCCUUCGGGGUGGAUUAGUGGCGAACGGGUGAGUAACACGUGGGCAAUCUGCCCUUCACUCUGGGACAAGCCCUGGAAACGGGGUCUAAUACCGGAUACGACCUGGGAAGGCAUCUUCUCGGGUGGAAAGCUCCGGCGGUGAAGGAUGAGCCCGCGGCCUAUCAGCUUGUUGGUGAGGUAACGGCUCACCAAGGCGACGACGGGUAGCCGGCCUGAGAGGGCGACCGGCCACACUGGGACUGAGACACGGCCCAGACUCCUACGGGAGGCAGCAGUGGGGAAUAUUGCACAAUGGGCGAAAGCCUGAUGCAGCGACGCCGCGUGAGGGAUGACGGCCUUCGGGUUGUAAACCUCUUUCAGCAGGGAAGAAGCGAAAGUGACGGUACCUGCAGAAG
rnacentral:rRNA from 1 species